AGUGAACGCUGGCGGUAGGCCUAACACAUGCAAGUCGAACGGCAGCACAGUAAGAGCUUGCUCUUACGGGUGGCGAGUGGCGGACGGGUGAGGAAUACAUCGGAAUCUACUUUUUCGUGGGGGAUAACGUAGGGAAACUUACGCUAAUACCUCAUACGACCUACGGGUGAAAGCAGGGGAUCUUCGGACCUUGCGCGAUUGAAUGAGCCGAUGUCGGAUUAGCUAGUUGGCGGGGUAAAGGCCCACCAAGGCGACGAUCCGUAGCUGGUCUGAGAGGAUGAUCAGCCACACUGGAACUGAGACACGGUCCAGACUCCUACGGGAGGCAGCAGUGGGGAAUAUUGGACAAUGGGCGCAGGCCUGAUCCAGCCAUACCGCGUGGGUGAAGAAGGCCUUCGGGUUGUAAAGCCCUUUUGUUGGGAAAGAAAAGCAGCAGGUUAAUACCCCGCUGUUCUGACGGUACCCAAAGAAUAAGCACCGGCUAACUUCGUG
rnacentral:rRNA from 1 species